AUACGGAGGAUCCGAGCGUUAUCCGGAUUUAUUGGGUUUAAAGGGUGCGCAGGCGGCCAUUUAAGUCAGCGGUUAAAUCGUGGGGCUCAACCCCAUUCUGCCGUUGAUACUGGGUGGCUUGAUUGCGGUCGAGGUUGGCGGAAUUCGUUGUGUAGCGGUGAAAUGCAUAGAUAUGAAGAAGAACACCGAUUGCGUAGGCAGCUGACCAGACCGCAAAUGACGCUCAUGCACGAAAGUGCGGGGAUCGAACAGGAUUAGAUACCCUGGUAGUCCGCACAGUAAACGAUGAAUACUUGUUUUCGGCGAUAUAAUGUCGGAGGCAAAGCGAAAGCGAUAAGUAUUCCACCUGGGGAGUACGCCGGCAACGGUGAAACUUAAAUGAAUUGGCGGGG
rnacentral:rRNA from 1 species